rnacentral:rRNA from 1 species
UGGGGAAUCUUCCACAAUGGACGAAAGUCUGAUGGAGCAACGCCGCGUGAGCGAAGAAGGGUUUCGGCUCGUAAAACUCUGUUGUUAAAGAAGAACAUAUCUGAGAGUAACUGUUCAGGUAUUGACGGUAUUUAACCAGAAAGCCACGGCUAACUACGUGCCAG